UACGGAGGGUGCAAGCAUUGAUCGGAAUUACUGGGCGUAAAGGGCGCGUAGGCGGUUAGAAAAGUCAGGUGUGAAAUUCCGGAGCUCAACUUCGGAGCAGCACUUGAAACUUUCUGACUAGAGUACAGUUAGGGAAAACGGAAUUCCACGUGUAGCGGUGAAAUGCGUAGAUAUGUGGAGGAACACCGGUGGUGAAAACGGUUUUCUGGGCUGUUACUGACGCUGAGGCGCGAGAGCAAGGGGAGCAAACAGG
rnacentral:rRNA from 2 species